UGACAGGCCCCAGGAACAAUGGGGAGAGGCCAAUGCUCCAGGGGUAUCCCUCGUCUUGGCUGUAUAUGAUUGCAUCAUCCAAGGAUCUGGUAUGGUUCAACCUUCACCUUUACUCCUGGAUCCAUGAUGAUGAGGUGAUGAGCUUCUGUGGUUUUCCCUGGCUUCCCUGUGAACACUUUGUGGUUUCACUCUAUAAUGUUGACAACUUCUGUACGUUGCCCAGCAAUCAAUUUGGGAGAUAUUUUUAUCUGUCCCCUAGGUUUAUCUUCCUGUAAUGGUGUCUCUAGGGUGACCAUAUAAGCUCCUCUAUCUUGCCAGGGCUUUAAUAGGUUUGCUUUGCUCCUGCUUUCAGUGAUCAGGUUGUCAAAUCUUAGGGCUUGUCUAC